AGAGUGAACGCUGGCGGUAGGCCUAACACAUGCAAGUCGAACGGCAGCACAGGAGAGCUUGCUCUCUGGGUGGCGAGUGGCGGACGGGUGAGGAAUACAUCGGAAUCUACCUUUUCGUGGGGGAUAACGUAGGGAAACUUACGCUAAUACCGCAUAAGACCUUCGGGUGAAAGCCGGGGACCUUCGGGCCUGGCGCGGAUAGAUGAGCCGAUGUCGGAUUAGCUUGUUGGCGGGGUAAAAGCCCACCAAGGCGACGAUCCGUAGCUGGUCUGAGAGGAUGAUCAGCCACACUGGAACUGACGACACGGUCCAGACCUCCGUAGGGAGCAGCAGGUGGGAAUGUUGGAACAAGUGGGACUCGAAGCCGUGACU
rnacentral:rRNA from 1 species